GAGUUUGAUAUGGCUCAGAUUGAACGCUGGCGGCAUGCCUUACACAUGCAAGUCGAACGGCAGCACGGGAGCUUGCUCCUGGUGGCGAGUGGCGAACGGGUGAGUAAUGCAUCGGAACGUAUCCUGGAGUGGGGGAUAACGUAGCGAAAGUUACGCUAAUACCGCAUAUUCUGUGAGCAGGAAAGCGGGGGACCUUCGGGCCUCGCGCUCUUGGAGCGGCCGAUGUCGGAUUAGCUAGUUGGUGAGGUAAAGGCUCACCAAGGCGACGAUCCGUAGCAGGUCUGAGAGGAUGAUCUGCCACACUGGAACUGAGACACGGUCCAGACUCCUACGGGAGGCAGCAGUGGGGAAUUUUGGACAAUGGGGGCAACCCUGAUCCAGCCAUGCCGCGUGAGUGAAGAAGGCC
rnacentral:rRNA from 1 species